AGUGAACGCUGGCGGUAGGCCUAACACAUGCAAGUCGAACGGCAGCACAGUAAGAGCUUGCUCUUACGGGUGGCGAGUGGCGGACGGGUGAGGAAUACAUCGGAAUCUACUUUUUCGUGGGGGAUAACGUAGGGAAACUUACGCUAAUACCGCAUACGACCUACGGGUGAAAGCAGGGGAUCUUCGGACCUUGCGCGAUUGAAUGAGCCGAUGUCGGAUGAGCUAGUUGGCGGGGUAAAGGCCCACCAAGGCGACGAUCCGUAGCUGGUCUGAGAGGAGGAUCAGCCACACUGGAACUGGGACAGGGUCCAGACUACUACGGGAGGCAGCAGUGGGGAAUAGUGGACAAUGGGCGCAAGCCUGACCCAGCCAUACCGCGUGGGUGAAGAAGGCCUUCGGGUUGUAAAGCCCUUUUGUUGGGAAAGAAAAGCAGCAGGUUAAUACCCCGCUGUUCUGACGGUACCCAAAGAAUAAGCACCGGCUAACUUCGUG
rnacentral:rRNA from 1 species